AUUGAACGCUGGCGGCAGGCUUAACACAUGCAAGUCGAGCGGGGGAAGGUAGCUUGCUACCGGACCUAGCGGCGGACGGGUGAGUAAUGCUUAGGAAUCUGCCUAUUAGUGGGGGACAACAUCUCGAAAGGGAUGCUAAUACCGCAUACGUCCUACGGGAGAAAGCAGGGGAUCUUCGGACCUUGCGCUAAUAGAUGAGCCUAAGUCGGAUUAGCUAGCUGGUGGGGUAAAGGCCUACCAAGGCGACGAUCUGUAGCGGGUCUGAGAGGAUGAUCCGCCAGACUGGGACUGAGACACGGCCCAGACUCCUACGGGAGGCAGCAGUGGGGAAUAUUGGACAAUGGGGGGAACCCUGAUCCAGCCAUGCCGCGUGUGGGAAGAAGGCCUUAUGGUUGUAAAGCACUUUAAGCGAGGAGGAGGCUACUUUAGUUAAUACCUAGAGAUAGUGGACGUUACUCGCAGAAUAAGCACCGGCUAACUCUGUGCCAGCCGCCGCAGUAAGAC
rnacentral:rRNA from 1 species